rnacentral:rRNA from 1 species
UACGGAGGAUUCAAGCGUUAUCCGGAUUUAUUGGGUUUAAAGGGUGCGUAGGCGGUCGGAUAAGUUAGAGGUGAAAUCCCGGGGCUCAACUUCGGAAUUGCCUCUGAUACUGUUCGGCUAGAGAGUAGUUGCGGUAGGCGGAAUGUAUGGUGUAGCGGUGAAAUGCUUAGAGAUCACACAGAACACCGAUUGCGAAGGCAGCUUACCAAGCUACUUCUGACGUUGAGGCACGAAAGCGUGGGGAGCAAACAGG